rnacentral:rRNA from 1 species
GUGGGGAAUUUUGGUCAAUGGCCGAAAGGCUGAACCAGCGACGCCGCGUGCGGGAGGAAGCCCCUCGGGGUGUAAACCGCUGUCAGGGGGGACGAAACCGGGAGGGCUGAACACACCCUCCUCUUGACGGUACCCCCGAAGGAAGCGCCGGCUAACUCCGUGCCAGCAGCCGCGGUAAGACGGAGGGCGCAAGCGUUGUUCGGAAUUACUGGGCGUAAAGCGCGCGCAGGCGGGCGCGUAAGUCGGAAGUGAAAUACCGGGGCUCAACCCCGGGGCUGCUUCCGAGACUGCGUGUCUGGAGACCGGUAGGGGCGGGUAGAAUUCCCGGUGUAGCGGUGGAAUGCGUAGAUAUCGGGAAGAACACCGGUGGCGAAGGCGGCCCGCUGGGCCGGUUCUGACGCUGAGGCGCGAAAGCGUGGGGAGCAAACAGGAUUAGAAACCCGUGUAGUCC